rnacentral:rRNA from 1 species
UGCCAGCAGCCGCGGUAAUACGUAGGUGGCAAACGUUGUUCGGAAUUACUGGGCAUAAAGAGUUUGUAGGCGGCUUAAUAAGUCAGGUGUGAAAUCCCGGGGCUCAACUUCGGAACGGCAUUUGAUACUGUUAGGCUAGAAUAACGGAGAGGUGAGUAGAAUUCAUGGUGUAGCGGUGAAAUGCGUUGAUAUCAUGGAGAAUACCAAUGGCGAAGGCAGCUCACUGGCCGAUUAUUGACGCUGAGAAACGAAAGCUAGGGUAGCGAAAGGGAUUAGAUACCCCUGUAGUCCUAGCCCUAAACGAUGUACAUUGUAUGGUGGGAAUCUUGCAUUUUCACUGUAGCAGCUAAUGCGUUAAAUGUACCGCCUGGGGAGUAUGGUCGCAAGGCUAAAACUCAAAGGAAUUGACGGGGGCCCGCACA